GAUGAACGCUGGCGGCGUGCCUAAUACAUGCAAGUCGAGCGAACGGACGAGAAGCUUGCUUCUCUGAUGUUAGCGGCGGACGGGUGAGUAACACGUGGAUAACCUACCUAUAAGACUGGGAUAACUUCGGGAAACCGGAGCUAAUACCGGAUAAUAUUUUGAACCGCAUGGUUCAAAAGUGAAAGACGGUCUUGCUGUCACUUAUAGAUGGAUCCGCGCUGCAUUAGCUAGUUGGUAAGGUAACGGCUUACCAAGGCAACGAUGCAUAGCCGACCUGAGAGGGUGAUCGGCCACACUGGAACUGAGACACGGUCCAGACUCCUACGGGAGGCAGCAGUAGGGAUUCUUCCGCAAUGGGCGAAAGCCUGACGGAGCAACGCCGCGUGAGUGAUGAAGGUCUUCGGAUCGUAAAACUCUGUUAUUAGGGAAGAACAUAUGUGUAAGUAACUGUGCACAUCUGGACGGUACCUAAUCAGAAAGCCACGGCUAACUACGU
rnacentral:rRNA from 1 species